rnacentral:snRNA from 1 species
GUGCAUGCUUCGGCAGCACAUAUAUUAAAAUUGGAAUGAUACAGAGAAGAUUAGCAUGGCCCCUGUGCAAGGAUGACAUGCAAAUUGGUGAAGUGUUUCAUAUUUUU